GACAGAGGGUGCAAACGUUGUUCGGAAUUACUGGGCGUAAAGCGCGUGUAGGCGGCUCGGCAAGUCGGGUGUGAAAGCCCUGGGCUUAACCUAGGAAGUGCACUCGAAACUGCCAAGCUUGAGUUCUGGAGAGGAAGGCGGAAUUCUCGGUGUAGAGGUGAAAUUCGUAGAUAUCGAGAGGAACACCGGUGGCGAAGGCGGCGUUCUGGACAGCAACUGACGCUGAGACGCGAAAGCGUGGGUAGCAAACAGG
rnacentral:rRNA from 1 species